rnacentral:snRNA from 1 species
AGAUGUAAGGGCAAGCUGUCUGCCACAUCUGUUACCCCACUGAUCGCCAGGGUUGAUUCCGGCUGCCUGGAAUCUUCUCUUCCUCCCUCACUACUCCCCGUACAUCCAUCUCCCUCAAAAGGUCAAAAAGGACAACCUUCCCCAAACACAGGAGGACCAGUGUCAUCCAAGGUACAGAGUAGUUGUACUUCCUUCUAGAAACCUCCAAACAAGCUCUCAAGGUUCCAAUAGUAUCCUAUAAAGGAGAAAGUCACUCUGAGAACUACUCAGAGGGCAGGCUG